AGCAGCCGCGGUAAUUCCAGCUCCAAUAGCGUAUAUUAAAGUUGUUGCAGUUAAAAAGCUCGUAGUUGAAUUUCGGGAUCAAUAUGUCGGUCGUGCCUUCGGUACGUACUGGUAUCAUUGGUCUCUCCUUUCUGACGAACCAUGAUGUCAUUAAUUUGGUGUUAUGGGGAGUUAGGACUGUUACUUUGAAAAAUUAGAGUGUUUAAAGCAGGCUUUAGCUUGAAUACAUUAGCAUGGAAUAAUGAAAUAGGACGUUCGAACCUAUUUUGUUGGUUUCUAGGAUCAACGUAAUGAUUAAUAGGGAUAGUUGGGGGCAUUAGUAUUCAAUUGUCAGAGGUGAAAUUCUUGGAUUUAUUGAAGACUAACUACUGCGAAAGCAUUUGCCAAGGAUGUUUUCAUUAAUCAAGAACGAAAGUUAGGGGAUCGAAGACGAUCAGAUACCGUCGUAGUCUUAACCAUAAACUAUGCCGACUAGGG
rnacentral:misc_RNA from 1 species